GCACUGCGUGGCGCGUCACUCGGAGCGGCGAGUCCCAGCGCGACAGGUCUUCUGUGGAUUGAAAUGUCUAUGAUUUUAUCUGCCUCUGUCAUUCGUGUCAGAGAUGGACUGCCGCUGUCUGCAUCUACUGAUUAUGAGCAGGGCACAGGAGUGCAGGAAUGCAGAAAGUACUUUAAGAUGCUCUCCAGGAAACUUGCACAACUUCCUGAUAGAUGUACACUGAAAACUGGACAUUAUAACAUCAAUUUUAUUAGCUCUCUGGGAGUGAGCUACAUGAUGUUGUGCACUGAAAAUUACCCAAAUGUUCUGGCCUUCUCUUUCCUGGAUGAGCUUCAGAAGGAGUUCAUUACUACUUAUAACAUGAUGAAGACAAAUACUGCUGUCAGACCAUACUGUUUCAUUGAAUUUGAUAACUUCAUUCAGAGGACCAAGCAGCGUUAUAAUAAUCCCAGGUCUCUUUCAACAAAAAUAAAUCUGUCAGACAUGCAGAUGGAAAUCAAGCUGAGGCCCCCUUAUCAAAUCCCAAUGUGUGAACUGGGAUCAGCCAAUGGAGUCACAUCUGCAUUUUCUGUUGACUAUAAAGGUGCUGGUAAGAUUUCUUCUGCACAUCAGCGACUGGAACCAGCAACUCUGUCAGGGAUCGUGGCGUUUAUCCUUAGUCUCUUAUGUGGAGCUCUGAACUUAAUUCGAGGCUUUCACGCCAUAGAAAGCCUCCUGCAGAGUGAUGGUGAGGAUCUCAAUUACAUCAUUGCAUUUUUCCUUGGGACAGCAGCCUGCCUUUACCAGCCUGUGGUUCAGAGCUUCAAGGUAGAGUACCCGGAGGUGUUGCUGUCCUGCAUGGCUUCUGCUGAAGGCAAAGCAAGGGCCUUUUCUGACUUUGGAUUGGAGGUAAUCAUACUGUAACCCCUGUGGCAUGGUGCUUUUGCCUCACUGGCCUCUGCCUAUAGCUCUAAAGUCAUCAUCUUAACUCAAUUGUUGGUGCUAUAUGUGUGGUCUGGCAUCCAGAAAUUGGGUAAAAAGCUGCACAGAUACUUAGAAAAUGACAGAGGGGACCUUGGGGACCUGCCAGACUGCUGUCCUCACUAGGCAAUGUUCUUGUGUGGGAUAGAGACCUUGCAGGUGAGGAGGGAGAGGCAAGAUAGGAAAAAGGCUAUAUAUGCGUGCACCCCACAAACAGAAGCAGAACCCUGGGGCUUGAAGAAAAUCUAGAAGGAUCUCGCAUCACCAACUUUAAAAAAACUAUAUAUGUGUAUGUAUAUACACACACGUAUGUGUGUGUUUAUGUAAUUUGUGUGUAUAUGGAAGUCAGAGAACAACUUUUGGGAAUGGGUUCUAGAUUCUACCACAUGGGUCUCAGUGAUUAAACUCAGUGCAAGUGCCUUUACCUGCUGAGCCCUCUCAGCGCCCCACUCACUAACUCCUGACAUUGAGGAGUGCCAAGCCCCUUCUUACAGACCAUGGCUAUGGACAGAGCAUCCUGGGCAGUGGAAGCUGCUCCUUGAGCUCUCCAGACCUGCCACCAGCCACCAGCAGAGAAGGAACAUGCUCCGGGGUAUGCAUUCUUUUCAGCAUGACGUUUUACUUUCGGUGGUGACGCAAAGCCAUGGUUUCCUGGAGCUGCUGUGACCACUCUCUAGCUCUGGAGCAGUUAGGUCUCUUGGCGCUGCUUCCCAGCAUUCCACCUCCCAGCGUCCAAGUGCUUCCUGCCCAGAUGACUGUCUGGCGCUCAGAAGUUCAGGAGCAUGGCUUCAGUGUAUGGCUGUUGAAGCAUUAUGCCCAAUACCCAUAAUUUACCAUGUGAAAAACCUCAGCCUCAGAACUUAUGCCUCUCAGGUGAAUUUUGCUUUUGGAAAUUCAUAAAUGUCUGUGUAACUUUGAGAGUUUUUAAAGUAGCAUGGCUUUGUGACAGACUUCAUCUUCUCCGAUAUGGGAAGUCCUUGUGGACUUCCACCGAGUCCUUGCCAGCUUCAUGCUGUUACUCUGUUGCUCACCAUGUUAGCUACAAACAGGGAUGGGGUGUCUGAACCCGACCCGUACAGAUUCUCUGAGUUAGCUUUCUAAUGUGGAUGUGCAUCAGAAGAAAUGUAGAGCCGAACCUAUUCUCUGGGAUUCGCUCCGUGGACGUGAUGGAUAUGGGAAGGACUUUCCAACUGCCCCUUUGGGGUGAUCAGGUGAUGUGUGUAUGUGCGUGUGGUUUCAGGAGCGCGUGAGGGCCCAGCCACAGCAGGUGGGAUUUCUUUAGGAGCUGGUUCCCACUUUGACCAGUAAUAGUCAGAAGUUUGAAUUUUUCUUUUCUUGAGACAGGAUCUCUGUGUAGUUUUGGCUUGUCCCAGAUUCAGAUUUUUGCCUGUUCUCGGGUUAAAGGUGUGUUUUACAACACCCUGUCAACUUUGAAUUUCUUCAUCAUUGAGUUUUCUUUCUACUUGGCAUGCCCAGCUUAAUUUCUGAGUUAAGCCCUGCCUCUGUAACAUCCAUCUUUUCCAUGUAUACCUGAAACCCUAAUGAAGUCCAGGCCUGCCAUGCCUAGAACUGUGUGAGCAGGGAAGCCUUCCUCACCGGCCCCUUCCUGUUACCUGUUUCCAGUGUCAUUUGCCCAUACCCUGCUAGAGUUAUUGCCUGGACCCAGUUAGUCCUGAGUUUGAUGAGUGCAGCACAUAGGAUCUGCUGCAAAGGGUCACGUUGUGGACUCGCCCUGCACCUCCUGUUACUUACCAGCUGUGUGGCCGUAGGCAAACAGUACCAGCCUCCUGUGCCUCAGUUUCUCCCUCAGUGAAAUGCGAUGGCUAGGAGGCUUUAGUGAGAUGGUAUUUGUGUGGCGACCAUCCCGGUGUGAUGCACAGCUGUCUCCAGCUGUGCAGGUCAGACUAGUUGGCCAUCCCCUCCCAAUGGUCUGGCUACUCUUCAUUUCCUUUUUGGUACAUCCUUCCUGCACCCUAACCCAGGAUGAAAAUCAGACCAGGACACAUUACCAGUGAAAGUGUUUUUAAUAGUUAAAUUAUUUAAAUAGACUUUUCAAUUUCCAUGGGAAAUCAUAAUUGUAUCAUUUUUGCAAGAGCAGGAAUAAAAAGAGUGCACACACCCCUUAGAGGGAACGAAGAGCUAGCACUGCACGCUGUCACCAGUCACUGCUGGAAGGGAGAGGAGCCUCCACGAGGCCUUGACCCACAGGGAGAACACAGUAUAAACGCAGCACGCACACUCUACUCUGGUUGGAAGCUAAACAGAAACCUGCCAGCAUUGGCCGGACAUGUGGAGGGCUAGGAACUGGAGAACAAUUUGAAGAAGCAGCCCCCUGUGUCAAAGGUAGAAGGCAAGGCCACACCCUUUCCCCAAAUCUGAGGCCUACACAUAACAUCCCCAGGUCACAGGGACCCUCUCUGAGACAGCCUCCGGCACCUGGGCCAGGGCACUGUCUGUGUGUGGAGGUGCGGACAGAGGAUGGCACAGGCCACACCUCUCCAAUUCCUGCAUUCCUGCCCCCCAAACACCAUCAGGGGCAUGGCUUCUCCACAGUGGAAAAGCAGACCCUAGAGAUCCCUGGAUGCCCCCAGGUCAGCUUCGAGCCUGCCUACCUACCUAUCAUGGCCAAGGCCUCUCCUCAGGCCAGCCACCAAGUGCCAUGCUGCGCCACCAACGAAGGCUCCAGUGGCACCCCCACCAUGCAGCAGCAGCACCUGUCAGAAAACUCAAGGCUCAACUCAAGCGGAAUCUUCUGCCAAGGGAAACAUCUUUGGUCAGCUUGGUGCUCGCAGGACACUGGCACCCUGGAUCUUGGCCAAAGGCCAUGCCCACCAGAAAAGGCAGAAGUUGCUUCUGAGUCAAAGUGGAAAUUUUACCAGCACAGCUGUGAGGCUGGAGCACAGGCCCCAUCUGCUCACGGUGCAAAAGAAGCUGUCCCAUUCCUCUGAAGGCCAGGCUGCUGGCACCUCGAGCUGGCAUCUGCUAACUGAGGGGAGGCCCUCCAUUGAGGAAGUAGGUCAUCAUCUCACCCUUGCCCUUGACCUUGACCACACCCCGGCACUCCAGCUGGUAUGUGUUGGCGGCCAGCACCUGGUACAUAUCUGUAGUGACCUGAGGAUCAGAGGGAGGGAGAGGACAGGCUAUCAGUGACCUUACCCAUGAGCUGCUGUGGGCACAUCUACCUCUGUGUGCCUAUGCCAUGCUGCUGUCUUGACUUGAGAGUGGGGAAGGCCAUCUACCACUGGCUCUUGGGGACAGGGAGGGGCUCAUCCAUGGAACCUACUUAGAAACAGAGUGGUGGUAGUUGUGGUCAGCACUUCCCUGUGCUGAGCACUGUGACAAGCACCUAUGUGGGCCACUUAAGGUGCUACGUGGAGCACAGGCUUGGGUCCAUAAACUCUGUGGCUUCCAGAGGAGCACUGUCCCAUGGAACUCGGCAAACAGAUACUGCCAAUAGCCGAGGGAAGGACUUGGGUCUUUCCUAGAUAGAGUAUGGCUCCAUGAUGGAGGGAUGGCAAGGCCUGGCACCUUGGACAGCACCCAACAAUUCAGUUGGGCAGGGCAGACAAAUGAGAGGACAUUCAAAUUCAAACAGUGUAAUACAGCAAAAAUACCUUGGAAAUGGUACAAUUAGCACUUGUAAGAACAGGCCAGGGAAGCUGACUUCCCACAGUGCACUGGGACCUUCAGAUGUGUGGCAGUACAUCUUGUAUGGGAAUGGAACAAGAACCACAAGUCUGCAGGAAUUGAAGGAAGGGACUGUAGAGCUGUGGGCCCAGGGUUAUGAACAUGAACAUGCAAAGGAUGGAGAAAGGGAAGGUAAUUCCCAUUCCCCUUGGAUGCUGGCGCCAUAUAGACCCCGUCCUCAACAGGCCUGGAAAACUGCAAGCCCUGCUGGGUGACCUUCCCCUACAGUUGUCUGCUCUCCUGUACAGCUGGCUGAGGAGGCCCAGGCUUCCCAUUGGCACUCUUAGGUCUGUCUGCCCCACUGUGCUCUGCAGAGGGGGCUGCACAGGCCCUGGGCUCUGUCCAGGGUACUGAAAGUCUGACCCAUCCCUGUUUGUCAGCCCCGACAGCCACAUCACCCUGGGAUCAGAAGAGAAACUCUGAGCUGUGUGUGGCCUGCAGUGAAAAGCUCCUGGUGACAGAGGCCCUUCAAGUGCAUGCUGUGAGUGGUGGCUGUGCUUGGACUCACCUGGAUGCGGUCAGGUACCCCAGUGCUGUCCAUACGGCUGGCCACAUUUACUGUAUUUCCCCAGAUGUCAUACUGAGGCUUGCGGGCCCCAAUGACCCCAGCCACUACGGGUCCGAUGUUGAGCCCUGUGUUGACAGAAACCAGCCAUACUCGUUAGCUGAAGACCCACACAUACCUGGCUUGCCUUUGCUAGCAUCCACCUCUUGGCACGUGGCAGGUACUCCUGACCCCUGUUGGCCUGAAGCCAAGCUUAAUCCCCCAGUCUCGCACUUCUCUGCACAAUCCAUUCUUGUUAGCGCAAGAAAGCAGGGAUCUGUGCACUGUGUCUUUACUCCACCCUUCCAAGCCCACUGCCAUGUGUACCCUCUUCAAGGUCUCCAGUGGUGUCCAACAUAGUCCAAUACCUUCUCCUUUUAAACAUACGAUAUUCAUGUUGUCUGGGAGCGUAUGGCACAUGCACGUGAGGGUGCCUGCAGAGGAUGCUGGAGUUAAGGGUGGCUCACUGGACUUGGCUUUGGUUCCCAGCACCUAAGCACUUUGGAAGUCGUCUCUCCAGCUGUCCAAUGCCUUUUCUUAAUCUUCCCUCUUGAUCUAUUUUCAGCAGCAACUCAAAAAACCACAGCAAACUCACUCUGUCUCCCUUCCUAAACCAUUGAUGUUCUUGAGGCCUUGCUCCUAACCCAUUUCCCUGUCCUAGUCUUGUCUCUUUCUCUAGUCCUAUCAUGUGACUUUUUAACCCCACAGGCUAUUUCUAUGCUAGUGUGACCACCUUGCUGACCACAUUGAGCUUGGUGGCAUGGCCUUUGGAAUAGAAGCCAUCUAAGACUACUUAGCUGCCUGCUUGUAGAGUCUGUCAUACCAUCCCCAGUCUGGUCAGUCCAGUUGUUGAGACAAUUUACAGAAGGGGAAUGGGAUGAGUGGAACAACAUUACAUGAAACCACGGACAGAGUUAACACAGACACAGGCUGUGUGCUGACUACAGCAGCUGCCUGGCCUUCAGCAGCCAAGUCCAAUCCACAAAGCACUGUGCCCAGAGGGCAAAGUAAACAACCUCUUCAGGGAUAGCCCGAUUCCCGACACUUGGGCCAGAACAAAAUAUCUCCUGGGACAUUAAUGAUCACAAUAUUGGUUUUUAGUGAUGCAAUAUUUCAGUUUAAUGUGCUAAUUUUGAGAACUGAAAUGCCAGUAUUUUUGUGAAUUACUGUUACUUAAAAAAAUUGACAUCUGAAUCAUUUAUGACUUGAGACACUCAGGGAGUUGAUAAUGCAUGAAACUUUUGACCAAAACAAAGAUCUGCUCUUUAGAAAGCAUUUCCACUGCUACAAAUCUCAAGAGAAGGGAGGACUGCCUCAACUGAGCUCCCUUUGCAGAAUGAACUGGCAAACACACUGCAAAACAGUCCCGUGCCCUCCGGGAGUGGCACGCUCAGAACUGCAGUUCUAGAAGUGUUUUGUGGAUGGAGCAGGAGGCCUGUGUGAAUACAAAGAUGGCUGUAGGUUUUCCCUGCACUGUUCGCUCAAUUCUUCUGCAGAGCUGAAACUCAAAUAAAAUGGUUGGAAUUGAUGAUAGGGGUUAGCCAGGAAAGAGGCUUUCUACUAAGUCUGAUGACCUGAGUUCAGUCUCCAGGACCUACAUGGCAGAAGUUGUCCUCUGACCUCCACAUGCAUGUGUGUGUAUACACACACACACACACACACAAACGUAAGCUCCCUUAAAGCCCUCCCACAAGACAUUUGCCAAAGAUGGAGCCCAAAGGUAUAACUCAGUAGAGCACUUGUCUGAAGAAUGUGAGGCCCCGGGUUUAAUCCUCAGAUGCAGUCAAGUGAAGACACACAAGCUUAACAGCACAUCACACCCUCCCUAGUGCCUGUCCCAGCGUGUGUGGACUACACAGCUUUCAGAGUAGUUGACUGGCCCACACCGAGAACUCAGAAGUAACCAACCCACUCACUGUACGAUAGGGGCUAGAGAAAGAUCACUGGCUGGUCUUCCGGAGAACCGGAGUUCAAUUCCCAGUACCCACUUGUAACUCCAGUUCCAGGGGACUGACAGCCUCUUCUGGACUCUGCAGGUACCAGGCACAUACUUGGUACACAAACAUACCAUGACAAGACCCUUGUGCACAAGAGGUCCUUAAGCUUACACUGAUUUAAAAGGCCAAAACAUGCCAGAGAUGGUAGCUCACAUCUAUAACCACAACACUUGGGAGGAUGAGGUAGGAAGGCUGUAGAGAGUUUCUGUCUUAAAACGCCGAAAUAAAAUCAUCGGCCAAAGGUAUUCCACUUUUGCCAUCAGAGUAUAUGUUCAAUAUACUUAUAAAUUUGCAAAUAUGCUAACAACAUGCAUUUGGUUUGACUGCUUUUCAUUUUUUCUGCCAUGAGACAGACAUGGAUAUGGGAUGGAGCAUGGGAGAGCCCACAAAGCGCCCCCCCCCCCAGCUGGCCCCUCACCAAUCUUCAUCUGGAAGUUGUUGAAGGAGUGCUCAUUGAUGUACUUCAUCUGGUCCAUCAGCUUCAUGGCGAAGUCUGCGAGAGCUUUGAUGUGGGUCUUGCCGGCCUUGUCAUAGGUGGAGUCGUUGAGGCCAGAGGCAGCCAUGUAGGUGCUACCUAUGGUCUUGAUCUUUUCCAGCUGCUUGAACCGAUCCUCACUGAUGAUCUAGACAGAAGGGGUUCAGACCCGAGUCACCCUCUCAUGCUGGGGCCAAGUGGAAGUAAACACGGUAGCCUGGUUCUGUGAGUCCCCUCCUUACACAGCCAGAUCAUCAGUUCAAGUGCGCUCCUCCACACUGCUCCACUAGACAGGGCCUCUGGCCAGAGGACAAGGUCACUAAUCACUACCAGGUCUCAUGCCCUUGACAAGAAAGUUAUGUGUCCCUUACUCAUGAAAAUCUCCCCUAACUUUAGUGUCCCUUUUUCUAUUUCCGGGCUUCUGGAAACCUAACUAAUGACUUGAAUGCCCUGGGGCAGCAUCCCUCCUCUGCUCCUGACAUGAUGGAACCCUCCCUGUUGGCCUGCACAUAGGACGUGCUCUGCAAGGAUUUAACGAAUAAAUUAAGCAAUGGCUUAUUCUUC